AACCAGCACCUCAAGUGGUCAGGAUGAUUAUUGGGCCUAAAGCAUCCGUAGCCUGUUCUGUAAGUUUUCGGUUAAAUCUGUACGCUCAACGUACAGGCUGCCGGGAAUACUGCAGAGCUAGGGAGUGGGAGAGGUAGACGGUACUCGGUAGGAAGGGGUAAAAUCCUUUGAUCUAUUGAUGACCACCUGUGGCGAAGGCGGUCUACCAGAACACGUCCGACGGUGAGGGAUGAAAGCUGGGGGAGCAAACCGG
rnacentral:rRNA from 1 species